rnacentral:tRNA from 1 species
GCACUCGUAGCUCAGUUGGAUAGAGCGUUGCCCUCCGAAGGCAAAGGUCAAGCGUUCGAAUCGCCUCGAGUGCA